rnacentral:rRNA from 1 species
UACGGAGGGUGCGAACGUUAAUCGGAAUCACUGGGCGUAAAGCGCGCGUAGGCGGUCUGUUAAGUGGGAUGUGAAAUCCCCGGGCUCAACCCGGGAACUGCGUCCGAUACUGGAAGGCUUGAAUCCGGGAGAGGGAUGUGGAAUUCCAGGUGUAGCGGUGAAAUGCGUAGAUAUCUGGAGGAACACCGGUGGCGAAGGCGACAUCCUGGACCGGUAUUGACGCUGAGGCGCGAAAGCCAGGGGAGCAAACGGG